AUUAAGGUGGCAGAGUAAGUGCGUUAGGCUUAAGACCUAAAUAUGAAGCUGUUAAGGCUUUUCUUGGUA
rnacentral:tRNA from 1 species